GGGAUUUGCCUUAAUGUGACCUGAAUCACUUCAAAGAGUGUUAAACUCUCAGUAUCAUCAUACGAGUUAAACCCUCGCCGCCUGACGGUGAGGGUUUUCUUUUGGG
rnacentral:sRNA from 1 species